rnacentral:rRNA from 1 species
ACUCAAAGGAAUAGACGGGGGCCCGCACAAGCGGUGGAUCAUGUGGUUUAAUUCGAAGCAACGCGCAGAACCUUACCUAGGUUUGACAUCUUCAGACAACCGUAGAAAUACGGCUUUUGUAGCAAUACAACUGAAAGACAGGUGCUGCAUGGCUGUCGUCAGCUCGUGUGGUGACAUGUUGGGUUAAGUCCCGCAACGAGCGCAACCCUUGCCUUUAGUUGCCAGCAUUAAGUUGGGCACUCUAGAGGGACUGCCGUGGUUAACACGGAGGAAGGUGGGGAUGACGUCAAGUCCUCAUGGCCUUUAUAUCUAGGGCGACACACGUGAUACAAUGGACGACACAAAGGGAAGCGAACCUGCGAGGGGGAGCUAAUCUCAAAAAGUCGUUCUCAGUUCGGAUUGGAGUCUGCAACUCGACUCCAUGAAGCUGGAAUCGCUAGUAAUCGUGGAUCAGAACGCCACGGUGAAUACGUUCCCGGGCCUUGCACACACCGCCCGU